rnacentral:rRNA from 1 species
GAGUUUGAUCCUGGCUCAGGUUGAACGCUGGCGGCAGGCCUAACACAUGCAAGUCGAACGGUAACAGAAAGCAGCUUGCUGCUUUGCUGACGAGUGGCGGACGGGUGAGUAAUGUCUGGGAAACUGCCUGAUGGAGGGGGAUAACUACUGGAAACGGUAGCUAAUACCGCAUAACGUCGCAAGACCAAAGAGGGGGACCUUCGGGCCUCUUGCCAUCGGAUGUGCCCAGAUGGGAUUAGCUUGUUGGUGGGGUAACGGCUCACCAAGGCGACGAUCCCUAGCUGGUCUGAGAGGAUGACCAGCCACACUGGAACUGAGACACGGUCCAGACUCCUACGGGAGGCAGCAGUGGGGAAUAUUGCACAAUGGGCGCAAGCCUGAUGCAGCCAUGCCGCGUGUAUGAAGAAGGCCUUCGGGUUGUAAAGUACUUUCAGCGGGGAGGAAGGGAGUAAAGUUAAUACCUUUGCUCAUUGACGUUACCCGCAGAAGAAGCACUGGCUAACUCCGUGCCAGCAGCCGCGGUAAUACGGAGGGUGCAAGCGUUAAU